rnacentral:lncRNA from 10 species
CACAGCUCUGUCAGAAAGCUAGAGGUCUGCUUGGCAGAGAGAGUCAUCAUGGAUUGUGGCAGAUUCUCCUUCUGUCAAGGCUUAUCUGAAGGCUAAAUAAAUCAUGCUGGAAUCUUCUGGGAUGUUGGAAGAGAGGAAAAACCCUGAACACUCUGCGGCUUCUCUGAGAAACCCUAUCGAAGGGGAUGUGGAAUCCCAGAGCUACUCUUGCUAUCAACUCGCCGCAUGACCUUGGGAAAAUCAUUUCACCUGGUUCAGCAAUGAUUUACUGAGCUAUUGAAGGCCUUACUUUCCAGAUCCAG